rnacentral:rRNA from 1 species
AAUAUUGCGCAAUGGAGGGAACUCUGACGCAGCGACGCCGCGUGAGCGAUGAAGGUCUUCGGAUCGUAAAGCUCUGUCCUUGGGGAAGAAGGUCUUCGGACUUGACGGUACCUAAGGAGGAAGCCCCGGCAAACUCCGUCCCAGCCGCCGCGGUAAUACGAAGGGGGCAAGCGUUGUCCGGAAUUAUUGGGCGUAAAGGGAGCGUAGGCGGCCUUUUAAGGCAGAUGUGAAAGCCCACGGGUUAACCGUGGGACUGCAUUUGAAACUGGGAGGCUUGAGUAUCGGAGAGGGUAGUGGAAUUCCCAGUGUAGCGGUGGAAUGCGUAGAUAUUGGGAGGAACACCAGUGGCGAAGGCGACUACCUGGACGAAAACUGACGCUGAGGCACGAAAGCUAGGGGAGCAAAC